GUCCCCUUCAGAGAAGCCUGGCCCCUCCCCAGUCGGCCCAGGAUGGGAGGGCAGCUGCUUUCCUGCCAGAGGCAAUGCUAGUGGCCUUGGUCAGGCUCCGGUGCUAAGCAGGGGAAGAGCAAAAGCCCGAAGGUGCUGACGUGACCUGUUACUGGUGCUUCUUUGAAACUCAGAUAUGGGCUGACGCUGGCUACCGAGUCUGUAAAAAUCUGAAGGAUUCUAGACAAGUGACGCCCUUUUUAUUCUUUUACACAAGAUCUCACUGGGGAGUCCUGGCUGGCCUCCAUGGAACUCGCUGUAUAGAAGAAAGUGGCCUCUAAUCAACGAGAUCCCCCUGCCUCUCCUCCCUCAGGUUGAAGUUAAAGAUAUGUGCCACCUACCACACCAAGCUAAACACUACAGACUCCAUAGGACCCAAUACUCAAAGGAAAAAAGAGGCAACAGUGCUGGAGGGAGGCAGACACAGGAAGCACCCAGAGCUACCAAAGAAGACGCAAGAGGAGCAUCCUUAAAGCGCCUGCAAUACAAGCAGUGAGCUGCCGUGAGACCCUAGGCCUGCUGCUAGCCUCCUCUCUGAGAGUCCAUGUUCUCGGGUCUGUAAAGUGAAGGAAACUGGGCCAUUUCUCCUGCCUGGCUGUGAGACCUGCAUCAGAGCCCUGUGGCUAAGAGCCAAAGAGUCAAACUAACUGUGGGGAAACGGUCAUUUCUGAGGACCAGAAGCAAGGGUCGUGCAACUGUGCUGGCUGUUGCAACAAACAUCUGGUUGACCCCAUCCACCCACUUUGAUCUGGGGACACUUGCUGCUCACCACCUCGCUAUGGGCUAGUAUGUUUCAAGCCUUCCCCAUCCCCACAACUACCAAAGCUACCUCUCCCGGGAUGGAAGCACUGUCUACACUUCUGGCCUCUGGCUCUGAUCUCCCAGACGACAGUGGAAAAUUGCCAUGCGUGGAUCAGGAUUAUGACUUUACUGACACCCAAGCCAUCCCAACAGGAUCUCCACUGCAGAAGAAGUCAAGACUUGGGAGCCAGAUGCUGAAGUGAAAGUCUGCGAACGCAGAGGAGGCAGAGAAAGUAUCCCGCUGACCUUCCUCCUCAGCCAACGUCCCAGAAGGGAUCUCUCCCAAGCCACUGUCUCAAAAAUCUCCUUCAAACUCAGUGUCCCUCCCUUCUACUUCCUGUGUGUCCAUCUCUCUAACCAUCCUCCUGUCUCCCUCUUACUCUCUAUAGUUUUUUUCUUAAUAAUCCUGUGUUCACUUCCUGUCAACUAAUUGCUUGCUCCGCCUCUUGACCUUGAUUGACUUUAUUUAAUCCUGGUUACAAUAUUCAGGCAAGAAAGUUCUUGGAUUAAAGGUGUGUGCUAAGACUAAGCCACACCACAGUGUUUUCAUAAGCAGGUUUUUCCAGUAAAUAACACAGUAAAGAGUUUCACAUUGUGAUCAAAUACCCCGCAACACUCCUCCCCCCUCCACCUCUGCCCCGCCUUGUCCUAUUCUCCAACGGGGUUCUCCUGUAGCCCAGUCAAACCUCUACUUCAUGCAACCAAACCUUGAACUCCUAAUCUUCCUGCUCCUGCUCCCAUCACCCAAGCGCUGGGAUUACAAGUGUGUGCCACUACACUCUGCUAAUUAUUUCUGUAAAGAUAUAUACAUAGUACAUGGGCAUGUGCGAAUAAAUAAAGUUCUUUAAAUCAACAA